UGUCGGAAUCAUCCGGAUCACAGUCUCCUCCCUAGUUCCUUCAUAGCAGUAUUACGUUUAAAUUACGAUAUUAGAGUCAGUAAUAUAUUCCCCCAAGGGAAUUAAUACCUUAUUUAAAUUGUGUUUAUUAGGAUUUAAUACAUUAUUUAUAUUAAAAGCCAGACCCAGGUUUAGAAGUUUAGUUCUAAAAAUAGUUCUUAUAUUAAUAUGUUUUUUUACAAUUAAAUAGAUAAUGAUUAACGUUAUCUAAAACAUUACAGUAAAGACAGUUAGGAGAAUUGACUAAUCUAAUUUUAAAUUUAGUAUCUUGAAGACCUGAAACAACUCCAAGACGUAAUCUAGUUAAGAUUUUGGUUAAAUAAAUGCUUUUAGAAGUAGGGCCUGGCAUAUUAACUCUAGGUUUAAGGUUGACGUGCCACUUAUUAUUAUUAAGUGACCAGUCAGCCUGCCAAAGUUUGAGUAUCUCAACAUUGGCCAUAGCCAUGAUUUCAGUAUAAUUGUAACCAAGUCCACAGCCAACGUUGAGAUCAUUUAAUGAUUUUUUUUGCAUUGGCAUCCACGUGCUCAUUACCAAUGAUCCCAACGUGGGCAGGCACCCAUUCCAAGGUAAUGGUAACACCUUUACUCACGAGGUGGUCAUGAAGAGCAUAUAUUUAUUUUAUUAAUCAAAUCCUUUCUGGCAGAGUCAGCUCCCCUUAUGGCUAAAGAGAGCUAAGACUGUCAGAAAAGAUAACAUAAUUUUUACGAUUAACAGAGUUAAAAUUUGAAUUGAUCCAAAGAAGGGCAUGGAAUAUUGCCAUGAGUUCUGCUAUGUAUACUGAGACAUAAUCAGGUAAUCUAGAUAUCCCUAUGAAUUGCCUUAGGGGCGGAUCAGGUUGAACAUAGAAAGCCACGGCAGUUCUUCCAGAAGCUGGCUCUUUGGAUCCAUCUGUAUAGAUAUGUACAUAAUUUUUAUAAAUUUCUUCUGCAUUGGCUCUAAAAAACAAAUUUUUAAAAGGUUCGUAGUUAUUUGCAAGUAUUUUUCCCUUAUCAGAAAGGGUACCAGUGGUCUACUUUGUAACCAAGGUGAAAAACUUUAUAUAAGAAUCAUUACUGAUUGGAAGGUUAUUAAUUUUUAGUGCCUUACACAGUUUAUUCAUCAAUAUGCCAGAGGAGUCUCCUACUCCCUCCGUGGAUUUGAACCCCAAUCCAAUAUUAUUAGCUGGAUGAGUGAUUUAACUGGUUUAAGGGGUGUUAAAUUUUUACAUUUCAUCCAGUAUUUUAAACAAAGUUUAUUUCUAAUUUGGGUUGGGGGGGGGGGGCGAAUCCUGUUUUCAGCUUGGAUAUUAACUGUCGGAGUUGUCGGAUUUAGAUUUUUUUAUUAUUUAAGAUUAAAUUAAGCCUAUAGUAAAGUCCCACGUUUCCAGGAAUAACUGGUUUAUUAGUAAAGGUUUUGGUUGGAAUGGGAAAUUUGUUUGAGUUGUUAUCAGGUUUCUGGUUGUUUUUGGUUAACGCGAAGAAAGCUCUCUUGUACUCUGGACAGCUUUUGUCAUGAGUAUAGUGUGGGCCGCGACAGUUAGCGUAAGAGAUCUCUUCUCGACAUUUGUUGGUCGCCCAGUCUUUUGUGGUGCUUUCUACCACACCGACAACAGGUAGGCGACUUAUGCGAUAUACGGGAAGAGCUCAAAGUUGUCACCGUUGUAACAGAUGGUUUCCUCGUUAGAAAUUUCGUGAAGGAGGAUGUCCAUGUACUGGUUACUCCAGACUACAACAUUCUUGAUGUUAAGUGGUGGAUUUUCAAUCCGCAGUUUAGUCAGAAGCUCAGCACCUGAACAGCCUAGGAUUUUGGUUUUUACAAUACAUCUGUAAGGAUUAACUGUAUUGGUAACUUUAGUGUUUUUAACUUGGGUAAACACUCCAUUAUUGGCUGAAUCAUGAGUGGCACCUAUUGGGUCCUGAUUAAAUUUAGUAGGUUUUUUUUUACCAAAUGGUGUGUACACGUGUCUUUUAAGCAUAUAGGUUUUAUGUAACUAAUGUUUAAUUUCAGGUUAUUAGAGGAAUAUGUACCUUUAAGUAUGGUAUUUAGUAUGUAUUUCAUUAAUGUUUAUUUUCAGGCUGUAACAACUACAGGUUGAACAACAUAUCACUAUAAUUAACAUUUUAUCACCUUUUUCUAGUAUUGCCCUGUACCUGUGAUGUUUUCGUGUAUGCUGGUCAACCACGCGUGACCACAUCAGUGCAGUCAGUGUGAGCUCUUUUGGUAGCCAUAGCUACAAUACAAACACCCAAGCUAUCUUUAAACUUUGACCCUUGUCUCUUUCUCUCCCAUUGGAUAAUUAACACUCACCUGUACCUGCAUGCUUUCUUUGGACUGACCAGACAGGACAGAAUUAUUUAGUAUUUGGAGAAACAAGUUCAGAUCAGAGAGAAAUAGUAGAAGUUUAAUUUAAAGGUUAGUAUUAAUUUGUUAUAGAAGAUAAACUUAAAUAAUAAUAGUAAAUGCCUAAUUUUCUAUUCCUGGUAAUGAUUAAUGAAUAAUUUAACAUAUAAUAUUUAAUAAUAAAUCUGCCUUUUAAUUACUAUGGAUUACAGGGCGUGACAUAAUGAAUGUCAGCCAUCUUUGUUUUCUGCUGUCAAAACUAUAUAUUUUAUGAUUUAAGUGAAGUUUCUGUUUUAGUUGUUAGCUUAUCUGAGUUAAUAAUUUAGCUACGUUUAAUCAAUUGUUUUUAUGACGAACUACACCAAAACAUUGGUUUUGGAAUGAAUUAGUUUAAAUGUUUUAUUUCUGAAUGUAUAAUAGAUAUAUGGAAACCAUAUACUAAACAAUUGAUAUUAUGAAUUUAUUUUUAUGCAGGUUUCCCCAGUUGUUAUGGAAUAUAUCAACACAAUGCCUACGUGUAAUUCAUAUGGGUGUGUCUUGUGUAUUAUGUUUACAUGAAUAAAAGAUGAUGCCCUAACCCGUA